CGUUCUAGAGACAGUAAUUUCCUUUACCUGUAUUGUAAAUAUUUGUGUGUGUAGACACACACACAAAUACUAUACUACAGGUAAAAGAAAUAAUUGUCUUAAGGGUAAACACCUGAAGGUAAUACGUAUACAUUUCUUUGUACACAAGAAAAAAAAAUUACCCACCGGUGCUUGACAACUGCCACUGUUGGGGAGGGGGGUGUACAGACUGUAAAAAUCUUCUUGGGCUUAAGCCCAGUUUACAGUGUGAUGUAAUCUUAAUUGUCUGCUUGAUAAUAAUGAUGAUCAUCUUUAUUGCCACUCUGAGUGACAGACUUAUUAUUUUAAGAAAAUCACUUAGCUGCCUGGCGGGCUGCAUCUCGCUGGCACUCGUUCGUCCAAUGUUGCCGUCCAAGAUACUGUCACUUUGAACACUGCAUCUUGCUAUGAAUGGUGGAUUAUAUGCACAGUCACAGUCCUUUGGAACACAGAAGAAAAAUAUUAAAACUAUCCUUGUGGCGGCAACAAUGCCUUCUGGACAGUUCGGCCGGUUCACUUUAUUCUCUAUUCCAGUUCUCAUCAACGAAAUUAUCUCUGUGCUAUAACUAUGUACACUGUGUCUCCUUAUGAAUGGUGAUCGUAAUCAGUAACAGUCUGGUGGAAAACACACACACAAAAGACAAACUUUCUUUGUAGCACCAAAUACCAUGUCUUGGCUACUCUCAGGCACUGGUGCCUGAUUGCUCGUCCCAAUUUUGAUUUGUUUCACUUCAAUUUAUUUUCAAUCCACCGCGGUCACUGCUGUCAUUAUGGACUGUCUUCGCUAAAGGCACAGUACUGCACUCGCUGAUCGACCUUUGGACGGUCAGUCACAACCAUGAACGCAACUCAUAAAUUUUUCUGGAUAAACUUUGUCAUGUGGCAAUGAUUUUAUGGUUGUAUACCUCCCGGCCUAUUCCUCUGGUGAGUACGUAGUGUGUUAUUAAAUAUACAAUGGGGAAUGACGUUAAAAAUCCUGCAUCGAUUUACACAUUCACAUCACUAAGACAAUCUCGAUGUUCAACAACGAAGGCCCAAGUGCCAACACUCUUUGUCACAGAGACGCAACACGACACGACCCGACCCGCACAUUUUUCAAAGUUAGUUUUCUACACUUGGGAUAAAAAAUAGUUGUUCAGAUUUCGUACAAAAGAGCUACUUUUCAUGCUGAUUAAGGACCUGGGUUCACAAUAAAAAAAAAUUAAUUAAUGACCUUUGAAAUAUUUAGAUAUUUAAAAUUUCAAUUACGCUGUGCCCGUAAGUUUUAAAUCACCUUUACAUACAUUUUUUUUAAAUAUAGACUAUCAAGGUGUCUACUGGUCUGGAAAACCUGGAAAGGCCUGGGAAUUUUACGAAUAAACCUGGAAUUUUAUGCAUAUUUAGUUCAACUUUACAAUAUUGUGUUUUUGACAUCAAUCUGACCAUAAAUUAAUGAAGUACUUUAUAAUAGGUAAAUAAUUAAACUUUUGGGAACAAAUUCCAGUAAUAGACCACUCCAAUAACUGAAUUAUUUGUGUGCUUACAGUAUCAUAUUUCAUGUUAGUGAUCAAAUAACCAAAUAUUACAGGUUAUACCAAAUGAUUUUGUAAUGAGUAUUGUCAGAGAUGAAUUGUUCUUAUAGUUAAGUGACUUUAUUUAAGUGGAUUAUUCCACAUAUUAAUCAUGAAUCAUAGGUGGAUGAGGAGUGUGAUUUUUGGGGUUUUGCCAGAUUUCCGACUUUUUUGGAAUCUCUAAUUCAACCCACUUGAAUCGCACAAAUCCAAAGGAGAAAAAUAUGGAGGGGGGUGUCAAGGUUUUUGCCGAUGUUCAUCACUAGGCUUAGGGUGGGUCGUGAAAGGAUCUUCAAUUUCUUGAUUAAUAUAAUUUAUAUCUUUAAAUUUCCCAAUAGUAUAUACUGUACAUAUUAUUGAAAACCUCUAAUUUUGUUAGUCAUAAUAAAUACUUAAUUAAUGUACCUGGAAUUUUUCAAAUUUACACCUGGGAAAUCUGGAAAAUCCAUGGAAUUAUGAUUUGUCUGGCCAGUAGACACCCUGUAAUAUGGUAAAUAAACUAACUUUUCAUGGUAUAUUAACAUUUGAAGAGACAAAAUUAUGACUUGGUUAUUUUACCAUUGUUUCUUAACAUUACUGAAGAAAGAAUCCCCAUUUGUAGGUGACAUGUUGCAUCAUCUUCCUGAGGCAGUGGACCAGAAGGUAUGACACUGUAGACACUGGGAAGAAUACUUUACUACCAUCACCAAGUGGCAUCAUCAACAUACCCAGGCAACUGAAGUUAACCUGAGAUGGACACAAACUUCACCUGCUGCUGUAUGGAGGAGACGUCUGGUCAUGCAGCAACACAGCACAGCACCUUAUAUCACGGCUCCUGUACAGAAGAAAACUUAUCUACUGAUUCUUGGCAGAUUAUGUUACCAUUUGAGGUGAACUGAAGCCUUGAUGUAAUAGUGAUUGAAGACUACAGUACAGGAGGAGAGAGUGUUAUCUGGCAUUGGUAUUAAAAUAGUUAGCAACUGUGUGUUAGUAACUUACAGGGUUCAGUUUAACACAGAUAGGCUCAUCAUAUAUUUUAAUAAAGUACAGGUAUCCCCCAAGAUACUUACAGUAUGUCCAAUAAAUGAACAAUCAUUAUUACAAAAAUAUCAGUUUGACUUAACAAAUUCCCCUCAGUCACACGGUCAGUAUAGCCCAGUGGUGCAUUGGCACUAUUGCAGAAUGUAUUUAUUAUUUUACAAGAAUUAUAUUGGUGAAAAACCCACCAGUUGACUGAUUUUUCCCUCCCAGAACAUAAUACAAGAGUUCUACCAUUCAAUAUGUUUUUUAACUUAGAACCCUUAGUGCUAUACAGUAUGUUAGAGGAUACCUACUUUUUUUUUUCUUCACCUUUCUAGUUUUUUGUUUCACUUCAGUUAAUUAAAUUAUUAUUAUUAAAGUAGUUUUGAAGAAGAUUACAGGGGGCCCCCAAUUUACGAACAGGUUCCGUUCCUUAUGACAUUCUUUUUCGGAUUUGUACUUAAGUCGGAACACGCGCCAUGAGCAUACCAUACUUACAGAACAAUGUUUAAAAUCACACUAUAUCACAGCCUAAGUCCUUAUAUACAUCUAAAAUCAAUUAAUUUAAGACAAAAGAGAAAUAGAUUGACAAUACAGUAAAUGAAAGUAAAAAAUAUCAUUUGAUGAUAUAUUGUAAAUUUCAUGUUUAACACCGUUCAUAUCGGCGGGGACUCCCUGUACUUUCUACAAGUUUUAAUUUUUACAUAGUAACAGUGCAGGACUUUGUCUUGAGUAAUAUUUUCAUAUACUUUCUCCCCCACUGGCUAAAAUGGACCUGAAUUGAGCUGGACCUGCAGUGAACUAGACCUGAAGUGAACUGGACCGUAAUUACUAUCUGGUAUUUUACUUAAUAUUUUCUGGUACUUUUAAUAUUAGAAAGGUUCUACAGAUAUCCCUCAGUUUUUAAAAGUUUUGUUCCUGAGAAACCUUUAGUAAAUCACAUCAAUACUUCCAUAGACUCCCAUUAUAAAAGCCAAGAUACUUUUCUGCUAUGAAAAUACUUCCCCCAAAUGAUGUACUGUACGCAAUGAUUAUAAGCCACUAUAGGAGGAGCUCUACUGAUGAAUGAGUUAUGUUCUGGAGGUUUGUUUGUGAGUCCAACUUUACUCAUGUAGAUGUACAGUACAGUGGCCUGUAAGUUGACCUUUGAAGCUCCAAUUUGUUUUCUUAAAACUAAGAGUCGUCUUAUACAAGGGUAUACAAUGUCGAUCUCUAAGUACACUCCACCACUAGCACCAGAUUUUCACUUUGCUGUACCGGCAGGUCUCGGUCACAUAAUUUCCAGCACUCGUAAAUAAGUUUUACCUAACUGUAGCAUUUUUCCAGAAGAGUAAAUGUUACUGAACUCCGCUUAAGUUUAGUGUUUACACUAGUCACAUUAUGGGUGUCCCUACACACACCGACACCUUUCAAAAUAUCUUUCGGUGUUAACUGCGAUUUUUUACAAACAAAUGUUACUGGGGCAAUAACUUGGAAUAUUUGUUGUUAAAUUUAAAAAAAAAAUGCAGUUAUUGUAUAUUGAUAUAAUGCUCCAGGAUUUUAUAAAUGUUUACAUGAAUGUGGUGUAAAGUUGUUAACAAGACAGGCACCUGGGAGCAACUGGCUGGCCUGCAGCAGCUCGGUCAGUGAAUGUCACUAGAUUUAUCGGCAAAGUUGCUAAAUACAAAAAAAAAUCUGGAGAAAUACCAUUA